CCACAUUGGGACUGAGAUACGGCCCAGACUCCUACGGGAGGCAGCAGUGGGGAAUAUUGCGCAAUGGGGGAAACCCUGACGCAGCAACGCCGCGUGCGGGAUGAAGGCUUUCGGGUUGUAAACCGCUUUCAGCAGGGAAGAUAAUGACGGUACCUGCAGAAGAAGCCCCGGCUAACUACGUGCCAGCAGCCGCGGUAAUACGUAGGGGGCAAGCGUUAUCCGGAUUCAUUGGGCGUAAAGCGCGCGCAGGCGGGCCGCUAAGCGGGACCUCUAAUCUUGGGGCUCAACCUCAAGCCGGGUCCCGAACUGGCAGCCUCGAGUGCGGUAGGGGUAAGCGGAAUUCCCGGUGUAGCGGUGGAAUGCGCAGAUAUCGGGAAGAACACCGAUGGCGAAGGCAGCUUACUGGGCCGACACUGACGCUGAGGCGCGAAAGCUAGGGGAGCGAACAGGAUUAGAUACCCUGGUAGUCCUAGCCGUAAACGAUGAACACUAGGUGUGGGAGAGAUAACUCUUCC
rnacentral:rRNA from 1 species